UACGUAGGGUGCGAGCGUUAAUCGGAAUUACUGGGCGUAAAGCGUGCGCAGGCGGUGAUGUAAUGACAGCAUGUGAAAUCCCCGGGGCGUCAACCUGGGAACUGCAUUUGUGGACUGGCAUCGCGUGGGAGGUGCCGGGCAGAGGGGGAUGGAAUUCCGCGUGUAGCGGUGAAAUGCGCAGAUAUCAGGAGGAACACCGAAGUGGCGAAGGCAGGUCUCUGGGCCGAUACGUGACGCUGAAGGAGCGGAAAGCGUGGGGA
rnacentral:rRNA from 1 species